rnacentral:rRNA from 1 species
UACGGGGGGAGCAAGCGUUGUUCGGAUUUACUGGGCGUAAAGGGCUCGUAGGCGGUUUGUCGCGUCGGGAGUGAAAACACCGGGCUUAACUCGGUGCUUGCUUUCGAUACGGGCAGACUUGAGGCAUGCAGGGGAGAACGGAAUUCCUGGUGUAGCGGUGAAAUGCGCAGAUAUCAGGAGGAACACCGGUGGCGAAGGCGGCCCCCUGGUUGGAUACUGACGCUGAGACGCGAAAGCGUGGGGAGCAAACAGG